GCUCACUAAACUCAGGAAUCAAGGAAUAAGGCUUCAUUUCAUUAUUAACACCACCUCCUUCCUUAAGCAAUCAAACGAAUCAUCAAACGAAAAGUUGAAGACAUUUUUCUGCUCCGCAAAGACGAAAACAAACAGCUUCUGUUGGAAUCAACUACAAUGGGGAUUGUUGUCAUGUUUUCAAGGAUCACUUAUCCGCUGGUUUGUUCCCGUUAAUCUCUUUUUUUAUUGAUUAAUCAUUCUCUAUUGGAUCUUGAUCAGUGUGGGGCUGUGCAGAUGAGCGACUGAAAGAGUCGAGGAACAUCAUUUUAAAAUAUCAAGAUAGAGUUCCGGUUAGUUAAAGUUCAUGCCUAGAUCAUUGUGUCGUGGUGAUUCGGUCUCAAUUGUCUUUUGUGGUCUCCAGUUUUGUUUCUAUGAUCUGAUACACUUUGGUCACUUCUUAGGGACUACCUCUUUUCUUUCUUUUCUUAAUUGUUGGAAUCAAAUAAAAUAAAAUAAAAACUAUUUUUUUUACCUAUACAAUUUAAAGAAUUUGCAAAUAUAAUUAAUCCGAAUAAAAGAAUUGACGAUAACCUAGCCUAAUGAUUGAGUCAACAUUUAUCUUUUAUUUUUCUUAAUCGAAGUAUUUUGUUACUCAAACGGUCUCUAAAAUAUUUGACUUUUUGGUAUUUUAUCGUUUCUUUCUUCAUCAAAUUCCAAGAUUAUACGAAUGAAAUAUUUAUAAAAAAUAAAAGUCGGUAUUGGAUUUACAUUUUGUUAUAAUGAAUAAACCAUUAUUUUUGCAUUAUUCAAAUUAGUAAUUUAAAAAAAGCUAAUGAAUUUAAGAAAUAUAUAUAUAUAUAUAUAAGAGAAAAAUAUUUUUUUUUGAAAACAAUCAAUACUAUUUUUCUAAAAAACAAUCAACACUAUUAUGAUGUUUUCAUUGAGUCACAUAUAAAAGAAAUUUAUAUUCUAUACCAUCAAAUUCAACACGCAUUUUAUAUCAAAUAAUUUAAUUAAGUAGAUAAAGUUAUUUGUUUAGACAACAGAAACAAUUAUUUUAAACAUGCAAAAUAUAUCUUAUCACAUAUAAUUCUUCCUCACUUAAAACUUUUUAAAAUAUGAAAAUCAUUAUUAUACAUAUUUCUUGCAAAUGCAAACCUAAAACAUAAACCACAAAUCAUACAAAAAAAUAAUAACUUAUAUCACAAAUAAAAUAUAUUCCGCUCGUAGGGCGGGCCGACCCUAGUUUUUAUUAUUUAUAAGUAAUAACUAAAAUAAAAUUCACAUAAAACGAAUCACUUAUAUAAUAUAUAGACUAAUAUUUAAAUAUAUUAUUGUACAGCUAUUUUCAUAUAAAUAAUAUUUCAGUGCAAAUGCAGUAUGAUAAAUGUUGAAAAGUAGAAAAUAAAUAGCACCAUAUAUUUUAAAUAGUAUAUACAACAAUUUAUUAUAUAUUAUCAUAAAAUUUUGAUCUAUAGAAAAUAAAAAUACAUUUGUGCGGAUAUACAGGUCAUAUUUUUAAAAUAUGGAUGAUACAACUGAUGGUUUACAAGAUAAAAUAAAAUUACGCAAUAUAAACUAUAAAAUUAUUGUGUUCAUAAAUGUCAGAUUAAACAAUUAUUUAAACAGAUAAAUUUUAAAAUAUAUAUUAUCACUUAUACAAAUAAAUAUUUAUUUAUAAAACAAAUACAAAAAACUUUCUAGCGGGUGCGCAGAUCAAACUCUAGUAUUAUAUUUAAAUCAUAUGAAAUUUUCUUUCACUAAAGCAUCUCCAAAGGAAACUCUAUAACUUCAAAAAUAGAUUUUUUUUGCUAUCCAAAAAGGAACUUCAAAACUUCAAAUUGAGUUUUAAGAAGUGAAACUUCAUAUUUGAAGUUUACUACUCAAAACUCUAAAUUUGAAGUUUCCUCUUUUUAAUUGCAUUUUGGUCUUUAUAAUUAAUUAAACAUCACAUUUAUGAUUAUUAACUAUUUUCUCAUUUAUCAUUUUAAUCUUUAAAACUUUUGUAUAUCAUAAAUAUUUCAAAUUUAUUAUUAUAAAUUCAAAUUUUACACAUAAAAUUAAAUAAAAUUUUUAAAAUAUGAUUUAUAAUAUUUAAAACUGGAAUUAGACAACAAUAAUAUUACAAAAAAAACUUAAUAAAAACGUGUUAAAAAUAUAUUUAAAGACAUAAUUACUAUACAAAUUUAAAUAUUACAACAAUACAAAUAGUCUAGUAAAAUUUCUCUUGAACCUCUAAAAUAUUGUCCAAACAAAUUUUGUGUGACAAAGAUUGAGCAUUACAGAAUUAAUUUAAUAGAAUAAUAUGGUAUUUUACUUGUAGUUUAAUAUUUAAUUAGAAUUUCUAUUAAUUAUUUUAUAUUUUAGUGUAAUAUUUUAUAAAACAAUAUUACUGUAAUAUUUUUAUAUAUGUGCUAGUUAUUUAUAAAACAAUUAUGGUUUUAUAUUAAUUAUGACAAAUAUAAAGACUAUAGUGUAAAUUACAAAUAAUUUUGAAAUUAGAUUUGAAGUUUUAUUUUUGGAAAAAAUAGCUUAAAACUUCAAAUAUAAAGUUUUGUAAACUGUAAAAUAGAGUCUUUUUGGAGAUGCUUCAAGUGUAAACAUGCAUUUCUUUCACCUCUUCUCUAUUUCAUCUCUAAUUGUAUCCAUCAUUUUCCCAGCAUGGAUGGAGAUUCUACCGCUUCCGAAUAUUCAUUUAACGAAGUUUUUAAUGUAAAUCAAACCGGUUCUAAACCAGUAAAUAUAUAUAUAUANNNNNNNNNNNNNNNNNNNNNNNNNNNNNNNNNNNNNNNNNNNNNNNNNNNNNNNNNNNNNNNNNNNNNNNNNNNNNNNNNNNNNNNNNNNNNNNNNNNNNNNNNNNNNNNNNNNNNNNNNNNNNNNNNNNNNNNNNNNNNNNNNNNNNNNNNNNNNNNNNNNNNNNNNNNNNNNNNNNNNNNNNNNNNNNNNNNNNNNNNNNNNNNNNNNNNNNNNNNNNNNNNNNNNNNNNNNNNNNNNNNNNNNNNNNNNNNNNNNNNNNNNNNNNNNNNNNNNNNNNNNNNNNNNNNNNNNNNNNNNNNNNNNNNNNNNNNNNNNNNNNNNNNNNNNNNNNNNNNNNNNNNNNNNNNNNNNNNNNNNNNNNNNNNNNNNNNNNNNNNNNNNNNNNNNNNNNNNNNNNNNNNNNNNNNNNNNNNNNNNNNNNNNNNNNNNNNNNNNNNNNNNNNNNNNNNNNNNNNNNNNNNNNNNNNNNNNNNNNNNNNNNNNNNNNNNNNNNNNNNNNNNNNNNNNNNNUUUUGAAUCAAAUCAUGUAUAUUAAUCUCCUCGCUAACAUAUAAAUUCGAAGAUGUGAUUUUGAGGUACAUUUGUUGUGGAAAGACCCUUAAUUCGCCAAUAGAACCAUACAUACACUGGGUUUUAACCCUAAACCGAUCUUAUUCUUAAAUAUCCACUAUUUUGUGACAAGAAAGUUUAAAUAAUAUUUAAUUGUUCUUGUCACAAAAAUAACCAAAAGAAGUUUUAUUAAAGAGUUAAAAUGCAUUUAUACUUUAUGGUUAACUAAUAUCUAGACUUAGGGUUUAGAGUUAAAGGUUGGAGUUUUGAGGAUAGGAUUUCAUAUUUAAAAAAAUAAAAAAAAUAAAAAUUAAAAUUUUCAAAAUAAAAAGAGGCUAUUUUGGUCAUUUUCUUUAUUGAAGGCUAUUUUUGUGACAAAAACUUAAAAAAUACUAUUUGAGAGCAUUGCCCUAUAUAUAUUGUAUCUGUGUGCAUAUUUUUUUCGAUUCCAAUAAUAUUUUGGUUAAAUCAAACCUAUUGUUAUCUCGCAAAUUCACCUUUGCUACAAUUCCAAUUUCCUCAAAAUUGUUAAUGGAACUCUAUAAAAACUAAACAUGGCAUAUAACACAUUUGAAAUAUAACAUUAUACAAUUAAGAGCCAUAACAUUAGAUUUGAGUUGAAAACUCACAAAACAACAUCAUGGCCAAUCCCAAAGCAAAGAGUUUAGAAAAACAUAUAUACUAUACAAAUACACACAUCCAAAGAUAACAUGAAACAUGUUUGUUCAAAAAAAAAACAUGAAACAUGAUAUUAAAAGGGAAGACAUGAGGUGCAUAUAUAGAUAAAAAUGUCUGAGAAGAGACAAUCAAGGAUACAUAAAAGACAAAGAGAGGCUUUUUUUUUUUUUUGAACAAGAGACAAAGAGAGGCUGAAAGAAGGCACUUAUGCAAAUGUAAAAAGGUUCAAAUACAACAAAAAUGUACAUACACUCGUGUUUACUCGGGAAGAUCUUCGUUUAUAAUCUAAUUAAUAGUUUAAUACUAAUGUAACUAGGUUAAUAUCCACGCCUUGCACGGAAUGACAUUAUAUAUAUAAAUUAUUUUAUAUAUUAUAUGUUUAUAACAUAUUAUGAAAUAAUAAAUAUAUAUUGAAUAAAAAAGUAAUUAUCUACUACUUAUAUAAUUAAAUUGGUGCGAACAUAUAAAUAAAUUUUAUAAAUCGAAAAAAUAUUUUUUCUAUUUGAUAUGAUAUAUAAUUAAAUUUAAAUAAUAGUAACAUAUAUGAUAUAUUUUAAUAUCAAAUUACCAUGUCUACAUUAUUGGACUUUUGGCACCAAUCUUUUAGGAUUCACACAUUGCGACCACUGCAUAUCUAUCUUAUUAAAACUCAAGUACAAAAUUGGAGUGUUUGGAAACUUGAAUAGGACUAUUAAAAAAUUUGGAGUGUUUGGAAACAUGGAUUGCAGUCUUUUAAAAAAAAAAAAUUUUGUUUGAAAACAAGGAUAGUAAUAUUAAGAAAAAAAGUAAUGGGCUUAUGUUUUUUUAAAAAAUUGAAAAUUAUCUAGGCCACUUUUAAAAUAUACCAAAAUGGGUCAAUCUAAUUCCCUAAAAAUUUUUUUUCUAAACUAACCAUAAAACAAAAUUUAAACUUUAUAUACAUAUUUCAAAUCAAAAUAAUAAUUCAAAUUUGAUUUAUAUCAAAAAUUGAUUCAAAAAUAUACAUAUAUUCAAAAAUGGAUUUUUACUAAACUAUUUUUCAAUAACCAUUAUAAAAAAAUAUUGUCAACAUAUAUAAGAAAAAUAUAAUACAAAGCCCAAUUUGAAAUACCAACUCAAAUUAUGGUUUUCAUAUUUCAUAUUAAGUUUUAAAAAUAUAAUAUAUGUAAUUAUUUAUAUGAUGGUAUGUAUAAAAUACUAUUAAUUAUAUGAUUACUUAUAUGAUGGUACAUAUAAAAUACGAUUAAUUAUAUGAUGAUAAAAUACGAUAUAUAAUAAUGACUAGGGAUGGGCUUUUGGAUACCCAUACGGGUUUAGUUAUGAUCGGUUUGUAUUUUGGGUUUUCGGGGUCAAAGAUUUCAGCCUUAUUAGAAUGUUUCUAAAUUUUGGUUUGAGUUCGAUUUGGAUCUUUGCGGGUUUGGUUUGGGUUUGGAUAACUAAUUUAAAUUAUUUUUAAAGUCUUAAAUCAUUAUAUAUUUUAAAUUUCUCAAAAUGUAUAAAUAAAAUAAUAUAUUACGUAUAAAUUUGAAUAACAUAUGUCAUAAUACUUAAGCUUAACAUAUCAAUUGGCUUGAUUUAAAAUUUUGGAUACGAAAUCAAUAAUUAUUUUAAGUAUUUUUGGUGAUUUGAGUAUACUUUAACUAUUUCAGAUAUUUACUUUUGACUAUCUAUAUAUAUUUUCAAGUAUUUAAACCAAUUUAAAAGUAUCAUUUUUGAUGUUUUAUAUACGUUAAAUCUAAAAAUAAUUAAUAUAUAUAAGUAUAUAAAUCUAUUUUUAGAUAAAUUCGGAUACCCAAAUACUUCGGUUCGGAUCAGAUUCGGUUCUCUAAAUAACAAAAUUUUGAAUAAUUAGAAUAUUUAAUCAAUUUAUGUUCGGGUUUGAUACUAUAUUUUUGGAUCGGUAUCGGUUAUGUUCCUCGGAUUCAUUUUUCCAAAUCCUAAUAAUUACAUGAAAAAGAAAUAUCAACAUAUUUUUCAAAAUAUACAUCCGCGCGCCUGCGCGGGUCCAAAUCUAGUUCUGUUUAAAACCCACUAAUGUUAACCCGCGUGGAUCUUACAAUGCAACUAGUUAUCAAUGAGAGAAUGAGAAACCCAACAGAACAAAAUUUAAUUUCAAGUAAACACUCUACUCUAUUUAAGUCUUAUGAAAAUAAUUUAUUGGUCAGAGAACUAUGAUUUGAUUUCUAUUGAUGCAUAUAGAGUUUUGUGUACUUGUACAUUGCUCACGUAUAAAAUAUAUUCUUUGUAUAAUCGUUUAUAUCAUACUAGUUCAUACUAUAUACAUGAACAAUGUACAAGCAAUAUACCACUAUAUGAACUCAAUUUUUACAUAGAAAAUACUGGUGACAGUAGAUAACUAAUUAAAUAAUGGUAUAUAAAAAAUAUUAAUAAUAGAAUGGAAGAAAUUAUAAACAGUUUAACUAAUAGAUUCAAAUAAAUUGACUGAGACAUGCCACUUCAACCAAAAGAUUUACUUUUUGUUCGAUGGACUUAAUCAUAUCAAUGCAAUAGAUAGACAAUAUUAUUCUCUCAGAAACAAAAAUUAUUUACUAAGAAAACUGGAUCAAACAAAUAAGUUUUAAACUGCUAUUUAUGAAAAAUAAUUAAAAUUAUAAAAAUCAUAUUUAAAAUAUAAUUACAUAAAUAAAAUAAUAUAUAUUUAUCUUAAUAACUAUAAUAUCAAGUAUAUAUAUACUCUGCAGGCUGCAUCAACAUACAUACUUUCAGAUGGGGUUAGGGUCGUAUACGACCUUAUAGAGUCUACGUACCUCAACAAUUAGGUGAUCUUUUGAAUCUGGUGGUCGUAGUAGCUGGUUUUCAUAAUACUCGGUGUAUAACAUCCAAAAACGUUAGGGAAAGUUGCAUUUCAGUUAUUACAUUUUCCUUGCAAAUAUUCAUUUGAUUACUACUUGAAGUUAUGUCAAUGAGCUAAGUAAAGAAUUGGAGUUCCCAAGUAAUAUGUUUAUGAAGCUGAGCCGACAUAGAGAUGAGGCCACCAACGCAAGUGCUGUCUUAGAUCACGACCGUCUCAUUUUCCAACGCGAUCAAUCUCCCCACAAAACCAAAAAUGUUCAUCAACUCUUGAUUCUAUGCUUCAUCUCUCUCAUUCUCUCUCCAUAUAUUUUUUUUUUUUUGUAAUUCACUGUCAGACAUUAAAGGAGACAAACUUUUAUCCUUGAUUCCCGAUCUUGUCCAUUUUAUUUGAUCCUUUCCAUACUCUGUCUGUCUAAUGGACUGUUUCAUUUGCUGAUCCUUUCAGGCUUGUGGAAUUAUAACUCAAACUAAUUAUCAAACCAAAACAUUAAUUAUAUGCUAACAAUACAACAUUGAACCUAAACAUCUUAUUAAUCAAGUUAAACCGAUCAAUGAUCUUAAAUUCUUAACCAAAGGACUCAAAACACUAUGUGAUAUGUAUUUUACGUUAGCCAUAAUAAGUUUUUUUCUUAAACAUAAAAAAGAAAACUGCAAUUUUUUAUUACUUUAUAAUGUUAUACUACAUAGUUUUCGCUUUUUUAUCGUUGUAUAAAAUGUAAAGACAAUUAAAUUUUUUUAAUUCUUCGUCUUUGAAUAUCCAAAUUUUUAUUCCUAAAACCUCAUAAAUAGUUCGAUCUGUAUAUGAACAAUACUUAAUUUUGGUUACCAAUUUUAUGGUAAAAAGAGGAAGACCAAUGUGAUCUAAUUGUAAGCAAUUAGUUUUUGAAUGAUUGUUCUAUUAGAAUACUUGUAUAUAUCUUAUUUAAGACUGAUCCUUUUUAUUAACCACAUAUUUUAGGCCUUAGUUUUACUGAAUUUUUUUGAAUCAAAUCAUGUAUAUUAAUCUCCUCGCUAACAUAUAAAUUCGAAGAUGUGAUUUUGAGGUACAUUUGUUGUGGAAAGACCCUUAAUUCGCCAAUAGAACCAUACAUACACUGGGUUUUAACCCUAAACCGAUCUUAUUCUUAAAUAUCCACUAUUUUGUGACAAGAAAGUUUAAAUAAUAUUUAAUUGCUAAAGCUUAUGCUUAUAAAGAUUUAAUACUUGACUUUAUUUUAUUAAAUUCAUGCGUGAACUUCGAGUCCCAAGAUAGUAAGUCUCAUUUCCCUUCUUCGAACUUUCUCUUUGUUUCCUUCCUCCUUACCAUCUUCUCGUACCCAUUUCCUAUAAAAUAUGAUAUGCUAUUUCCACCGCUUUAUCACAUCGCAAACAUGUGGUGUAUACACUCAUAAACACCCACGCAUUAAUAUAAACAUGCAUAUCUAGCUCUCUUUCCUCUCAUAAAACAAACUAUCAACUUGAUAUCGUUCCCUUUCUUAUUUUCUCUGUCUUCUCCUCUAAGUAAUGUCUGAUCCAGCUUGUAUCUUCAGCAAUGGAUUUCUUGAUAACUAUGACUAUAGCUUCAACUAUUCCACUUCUCUCUCACACAUCUACAACUCUAAUGACAGCUUCUACUCUAGCAAUACCACAAACAUAAACCCUAAUUCUACAUCACCUGACUCUCCUCCACUUAGAGAAGCUCUUCCUCUCCUUAGCUUAAGCCCCAUUCAUAAGCAUCAAGAAGCUAGUGUUCCUCACCAUGAAUAUUAUUUCAUGGAGACGAUUAAACAAUCUUCUAAUUCAAACCUUCUUGAUCAUGAUCUUGGUCAGUGCCAAGAAACUCAGCAUCAUGAUGUGACAGUGGAUCUUCAUCUAGGGUUACCAAAUCUCGGUGGCGACACUAUUGCCUGCGGUGGUGGUGGGAGCAGCAGCAGCGACGCCAUACUUGAUUCUACAGACCAAGAGCAUCAUCAUGAUUUUCAUCAAGAUCGUCAUCAAUAUCAAGAAGUAGAAGUUACACUUGUUUCCGAUCAUGAUGGGCAUGGUGGUGUACAAAGGGGUAUUCAUCAUCAGUAUUGGAUCCCUACUCCUUCUCAGAUUCUGAUGGGUCCUACGCAGUUCUCAUUUAAUAAAAAACUAAUUAUAUAUUUAGAUGGACCAACCUAUUUCUCUAAGGAUUCUAAGAAUCAUUCUAGUGAUGACAUGUGGCUACAAAAAAAUGUUGCAAUGCUUCUCAAAUAAUAUAUAGGGGAUAAUAUCAAAUUACCAUGUCUACAUUAUUGGACUUUUGGCACCAAUCUUUUAGGAUUCACACAUUGCGACCACUGCAUAUCUAUCUUAUUAAAACUCAAGUACAAAAUUGGAGUGUUUGGAAACUUGAAUAGGACUAUUAAAAAAUUUGGAGUGUUUGGAAACAUGGAUUGCAGUCUUUUAAAAAAAAAAAAUUUUGUUUGAAAACAAGGAUAGUAAUAUUAAGAAAAAAAGUAAUGGGCUUAUGUUUUUUUAAAAAAUUGAAAGUUAUCUAGGCCACUUUUAAAAUAUACCAAAAUGGGUCAAUCUAAUUCCCUAAAAUUUUUUUUUCUAAACUAACCAUAAAACAAAAUUUAAACUUUAUAUACAUAUUUCAAAUCAAAAUAAUAAUUCAAAUUUGAUUUAUAUCAAAAAUUGAUUCAAAAAUAUACAUAUAUUCAAAAAUGGAUUUUUACUAAACUAUUUUUCAAUAACCAUUAUAAAAAAAUAUUGUCAAUAUAUAUAAGAAAAAUAUAAUACAAAGCCCAAUUUGAAAUACCAACUCAAAUUAUGGUUUUCAUAUUUCAUAUUAAGUUUUAAAAAUAUAAUAUAUGUAAUUAUUUAUAUGAUGGUAUGUAUAAAAUACUAUUAAUUAUAUGAUUACUUAUAUGAUGGUACAUAUAAAAUACGAUUAAUUAUAUGAUGAUAAAAUACGAUAUAUAAUAAUGACUAGGGAUGGGCUUUUGGAUACCCAUACGGGUUUAGUUCUGAUCGGUUUGUAUUUUGGGUUUUCGGGGUCAAAGAUUUCAGCCUUAUUAGAAUGUUUCUAAAUUUUGGUUUGAGUUCGAUUUGGAUCUUUGCGGGUUUGGUUUGGGUUUGGAUAACUAAUUUAAAUUAUUUUUAAAGUCUUAAAUCAUUAUAUAUUUUAAAUUUCUCAAAAUGUAUAAAUAAAAUAAUAUAUUACGUAUAAAUUUGAAUAACAUAUGUCAUAAUACUUAAGCUUAACAUAUCAAUUGGCUUGAUUUAAAAUUUUGGAUACGAAAUCAAUAAUUAUUUUAAGUAUUUUUGGUGAUUUGAGUAUACUUUAACUAUUUCAGAUAUUUACUUUUGACUAUCUAUAUAUAUUUUCAAGUAUUUAAACCAAUUUAAAAGUAUCAUUUUUGAUGUUUUAUAUACGUUAAAUCUAAAAAUAAUUAAUAUAUAUAAGUAUAUAAAUCUAUUUUUAGAUAAAUUCGGAUACCCAAAUACUUCGGUUCGGAUCAGAUUCGGUUCUCUAAAUAACAAAAUUUUGAAUAAUUAGAAUAUUUAAUCAAUUUAUGUUCGGGUUUGAUACUAUAUUUUUGGAUCGGUAUCGGUUAUGUUCCUCGGAUUCAUUUUUCCAAAUCCUAAUAAUUACAUGAAAAAGAAAUAUCAACAUAUUUUUCAAAAUAUACAUCCGCGCGCCUGCGCGGGUCCAAAUCUAGUUCUGUUUAAAACCCACUAAUGUUAACCCGCGUGGAUCUUACAAUGCAACUAGUUAUCAAUGAGAGAAUGAGAAACCCAACAGAACAAAAUUUAAUUUCAAGUAAACACUCUACUCUAUUUAAGUCUUAUGAAAAUAAUUUAUUGGUCAGAGAACUAUGAUUUGAUUUCUAUUGAUGCAUAUAGAGUUUUGUGUACUUGUACAUUGCUCACGUAUAAAAUAUAUUCUUUGUAUAAUCGUUUAUAUCAUACUAGUUCAUACUAUAUACAUGAACAAUGUACAAGCAAUAUACCACUAUAUGAACUCAAUUUUUACAUAGAAAAUACUGGUGACAGUAGAUAACUAAUUAAAUAAUGGUAUAUAAAAAAUAUUAAUAAUAGAAUGGAAGAAAUUAUAAACAGUUUAACUAAUAGAUUCAAAUAAAUUGACUGAGACAUGCCACUUCAACCAAAAGAUUUACUUUUUGUUCGAUGGACUUAAUCAUAUCAAUGCAAUAGAUAGACAAUAUUAUUCUCUCAGAAACAAAAAUUAUUUACUAAGAAAACUGGAUCAAACAAAUAAGUUUUAAACUGCUAUUUAUGAAAAAUAAUUAAAAUUAUAAAAAUCAUAUUUAAAAUAUAAUUACAUAAAUAAAAUAAUAUAUAUUUAUCUUAAUAACUAUAAUAUCAAGUAUAUAUAUACUCUGCAGGCUGCAUCAACAUACAUACUUUCAGAUGGGGUUAGGGUCGUAUACGACCUUAUAGAGUCUACGUACCUCAACAAUUAGGUGAUCUUUUGAAUCUGGUGGUCGUAGUAGCUGGUUUUCAUAAUACUCGGUGUAUAACAUCCAAAAACGUUAGGGAAAGUUGCAUUUCAGUUAUUACAUUUUCCUUGCAAAUAUUCAUUUGAUUACUACUUGAAGUUAUGUCAAUGAGCUAAGUAAAGAAUUGGAGUUCCCAAGUAAUAUGUUUAUGAAGCUGAGCCGACAUAGAGAUGAGGCCACCAACGCAAGUGCUGUCUUAGAUCACGACCGUCUCAUUUUCCAACGCGAUCAAUCUCCCCACAAAACCAAAAAUGUUCAUCAACUCUUGAUUCUAUGCUUCAUCUCUCUCAUUCUCUCUCCAUAUAUUUUUUUUUUUUUGUAAUUCACUGUCAGACAUUAAAGGAGACAAACUUUUAUCCUUGAUUCCCGAUCUUGUCCAUUUUAUUUGAUCCUUUCCAUACUCUGUCUGUCUAAUGGACUGUUUCAUUUGCUGAUCCUUUCAGGCUUGUGGAAUUAUAACUCAAACUAAUUAUCAAACCAAAACAUUAAUUAUAUGCUAACAAUACAACAUUGAACCUAAACAUCUUAUUAAUCAAGUUAAACCGAUCAAUGAUCUUAAAUUCUUAACCAAAGGACUCAAAACACUAUGUGAUAUGUAUUUUACGUUAGCCAUAAUAAGUUUUUUUCUUAAACAUAAAAAAGAAAACUGCAAUUUUUUAUUACUUUAUAAUGUUAUACUACAUAGUUUUCGCUUUUUUAUCGUUGUAUAAAAUGUAAAGACAAUUAAAUUUUUUUAAUUCUUCGUCUUUGAAUAUCCAAAUUUUUAUUCCUAAAACCUCAUAAAUAGUUCGAUCUGUAUAUGAACAAUACUUAAUUUUGGUUACCAAUUUUAUGGUAAAAAGAGGAAGACCAAUGUGAUCUAAUUGUAAGCAAUUAGUUUUUGAAUGAUUGUUCUAUUAGAAUACUUGUAUAUAUCUUAUUUAAGACUGAUCCUUUUUAUUAACCACAUAUUUUAGGCCUUAGUUUUACUGAAUUUUUUUGAAUCAAAUCAUGUAUAUUAAUCUCCUCGCUAACAUAUAAAUUCGAAGAUGUGAUUUUGAGGUACAUUUGUUGUGGAAAGACCCUUAAUUCGCCAAUAGAACCAUACAUACACUGGGUUUUAACCCUAAACCGAUCUUAUUCUUAAAUAUCCACUAUUUUGUGACAAGAAAGUUUAAAUAAUAUUUAAUUGCUAAAGCUUAUGCUUAUAAAGAUUUAAUACUUGACUUUAUUUUAUUAAAUUCAUGCGUGAACUUCGAGUCCCAAGAUAGUAAGUCUCAUUUCCCUUCUUCGAACUUUCUCUUUGUUUCCUUCCUCCUUACCAUCUUCUCGUACCCAUUUCCUAUAAAAUAUGAUAUGCUAUUUCCACCGCUUUAUCACAUCGCAAACAUGUGGUGUAUACACUCAUAAACACCCACGCAUUAAUAUAAACAUGCAUAUCUAGCUCUCUUUCCUCUCAUAAAACAAACUAUCAACUUGAUAUCGUUCCCUUUCUUAUUUUCUCUGUCUUCUCCUCUAAGUAAUGUCUGAUCCAGCUUGUAUCUUCAGCAAUGGAUUUCUUGAUAACUAUGACUAUAGCUUCAACUAUUCCACUUCUCUCUCACACAUCUACAACUCUAAUGACAGCUUCUACUCUAGCAAUACCACAAACAUAAACCCUAAUUCUACAUCACCUGACUCUCCUCCACUUAGAGAAGCUCUUCCUCUCCUUAGCUUAAGCCCCAUUCAUAAGCAUCAAGAAGCUAGUGUUCCUCACCAUGAAUAUUAUUUCAUGGAGACGAUUAAACAAUCUUCUAAUUCAAACCUUCUUGAUCAUGAUCUUGGUCAGUGCCAAGAAACUCAGCAUCAUGAUGUGACAGUGGAUCUUCAUCUAGGGUUACCAAAUCUCGGUGGCGACACUAUUGCCUGCGGUGGUGGUGGGAGCAGCAGCAGCGACGCCAUACUUGAUUCUACAGACCAAGAGCAUCAUCAUGAUUUUCAUCAAGAUCGUCAUCAAUAUCAAGAAGUAGAAGUUACACUUGUUUCCGAUCAUGAUGGGCAUGGUGGUGUACAAAGGGGUAUUCAUCAUCAGUAUUGGAUCCCUACUCCUUCUCAGAUUCUGAUGGGUCCUACGCAGUUCUCUUGUCCUCUCUGCUUCAAGACCUUCAACAGAUACAACAACAUGCAGGUAAGGAUAUACUCAUCCAAUAAACCUAACUGUAAUUAGUUCCUGCUUUCCUAGAAUAAUUUUAAAGAUUUGAUUUUUGUUCUUGAAAAACGCAUCUCACUUUAUUUACUUCUUAUUUGGUUAUUCUAAAUAGUGUAAUAUUCUCGUUCUUUUUUCUCAAAUCUUCAUCAUGAGAACAUCUCUAGCACACACUACGACUUUUCAAAAUAACUGUUACUACUAUAAACUCGAGAAUAACGUUUCACUUGAUGGUACAAGUCAUCAGAUGUACGAUACAUUGAUUGAUGGCUAUGAGAAGAUCAACUAAAAGCAAUCAAUGGGUUUAAAAUCAAGAUGAUCUUCUUUAACCAAUAGUCUUUUUAGACUGACUCCUUAUAACCCUAAAAUAUGAUUAAUAUUCCUCUUCCAUUUUUGUUCUUUCUUGAUUUUCGCGCAGUUCUACUACACAACACUCAUUACCCUAAAAAGUAAAAGAAAGUGAGGGAUGUCUUGCAAUUUUUGUUUUUGUUUAUUUAUACCUAUUUAUACAUUUACAUGACAUAGAUUAAUUUACUAUAUAUUUAAUUCCUAUUAAGCAAUCACAGGUGGCUAGAUCUCAAUCUCAUAGACAUUUUUGUGCAGAUAUACACAAGAAAAUACAAUCUGGUAGUACAUGUAUCAGUAUUACUAAUAUGACUACCGUAAAAGCUACAUAAAUUAUACACUGUUGUGUCUAGAAAUAUACGAAUAAACUGAUAAAUAUCUUGAAUUAUAUGAAGUUUGUGCAAGUCCUAAUCUUACCUAUUGCACUGAUCUCUUUGGUCAUUCACAGAUUUACAUUGUGACAGUUCCAUUUCGAGAUUAGUUAAUUAGAUUUGGAGUAACUGAUUUUUUUGUUUGAACAUAAAACCAAAUAAAUAUAUAAGCUGCGUAUAACUUGAAGUAAUUAACGGGUACUAACGUUACACAUGUUUUUAUUUUACCGGAAUUAGAUGCACAUGUGGGGACAUGGCUCACAAUACAGAAAAGGACCGGAGUCACUAAGAGGGACACAACCAACCGCGAUGCUGAGGCUAUCAUGCUACUGUUGCGCACCAGGCUGCAAGAAUAACAUAAACCACCCGAGGGCAAGGCCGCUCAAGGACUUCCGUACGCUUCAGACACAUUACAAGCGGAAACAUGGUGCGAGGCCCUUUGCUUGUCGUAGAUGUGGAAAGGCUUUUGCGGUCAAAGGAGAUUGGAGGACGCACGAGAAGAACUGUGGGAAGCUUUGGUAUUGCUCAUGUGGAUCGGAUUUCAAGCAUAAGAGGUCGCUUAAGGACCAUGUUAAGGCAUUUGGUAAUGGUCAUGUCCCUUGUUUUGGCAAUGAUUGCUUCGGCGAUCAUGAGGACGAGGAGGCUGCUUCUGAUGUCGAACAUCAAGACUGAUGGUGUUUUUCUUUUUGGAUAUUUAUUUUGUGAGAAUAGUAGAAGCCUUUACUUUUCUAAGGUCUUCGUUAAUAUGUUUGUCGAACGUGUCUUAUUUCAUAUAAGUAGUAUAAUUUGCUUUGGUUAUCCUGAGUUAUUUUCCUACUCGUAGAUGUAACGGACUCAAUUUGCUGAAUUCCACGUGCACCAGUACUCUUGUAUAUCAAUCUCUAGAAUUUAGAAUAGAGACUGGUAAAAAUAUACCAAAAAUCAAGUAUUUUGAAAUUAGUCAAAAGUCAAAACUAUGAAAAGUAGCAUUUUUCGUGAUAUUUUUGGUAUCUUAAACUGCCAUUUGACCUGCAAAACCUUUAAGGCAUCAUUAGUCAUUCUUUUUCUCUUACAUAUCACUGUAUCUCUCUAUGUUAAGAAGCUUUAGUUAGUUUUUUUUUUUUUGAAUGAAUGUUAAAUUUUAUUCAUAAAAAAAUGCUUUUUUACGUCAAAUGCAUCCUAAGUUUAAAUAUGUGGACUUUACUUAACUCCUACUCCUCCUUUACUACUCCUAAACUGCAAAAUAUUUACAAUCUUGUGGCAAACCAAUACUGCAAAAUGCCAUCUUGUAACUUCAUCAAGCUGAGUUUGUUUCGGAUACCUUUAUGGACGAGCUUCAUCAGAGCUUGAGAGGGCAAUGGUGGUUCUCCAUGCCUGCGCCUAUUACGUUCUCUCCACAAUGCGUAGACAGCGGCUUGGAAGGCAUAACGGACGCAGAACAGCUGGUAUCUCUCCCGGUUCCGAUCAACGAGCAGAAUCUCAAUAUCAGACCAUUCUGCAGUGAACGAGUUCUGCAGUAUACCUUUGACAAGAUGCGCCCAAACUUGAGCUGAGAACGAGCACUCGAAGAAAAGGUGGUUCCUGGAUUCUGAAGAGUUCUUGCAUAGAACACAUUUUGUGUCCACGCCUUGACUCCAUAGAGAAACACGAUCCAUAGUAGAUAGUCUACACGAUCGACAGUUAUAUUUUAGUGAUUUUAAUUUGUAACAUUUUAACCCAUACAUCAUGAAAAGUAAGAUACACUUGUUUUCUAAAUUAUGAAUAUGAUAUCAAGAAUUCUAAAUUUUCAAGAAAUCACACAAUGUUCCAUAAAUCUCCGCCAAUAAUUUCAUUAGGGGUGGGCGUUCGGGUACCUAUUCGAGUUCGGUUCGGAUCAAAUCGGGUUUCGGGUUUAAAAAUUUCAGCCCCAUUCGGGUAUUUCUAAAUUUCGGUUCAGGUUCGGUUCGGAUCUUUGCGGGUUCGGUUCGGGUUCGGAUAACCCAUUUAAAUUAUUUUUUAAAUUUUAAUAUUCAUUAUAUGCUUAAAAAUUCUCAAAAUCUGUAAAACAAAUAAUAUAUUACAUAUAAAUUUGUAUAAUAUAUGUCAAAAUACCUAAAAUUAACAUCUAAAUUGGUUUGAUUUGAAUAUUUGGAUUCAAAAUCAAGACAUAUUUCAAGCAUUGUGGUGUUUUGAAGAUAUUGUAACUAUUUUAAACAUUUAUUUUUGACUAUUUAUAUAUAUUUUCAAGUAUUUUAGACAACUUAAAAGUAUAUUAUAUAUUUUGGAUGUUUUUAAUAUAUAUUAAAUCUAAAAAUAAGUAAUAUAUUUAGAAAUAUAAAUGUAUUUCGGUUACAUUCGGGUAUCUGAGAUAUUUUGGUUCGGGUCGGGUUCGGUUUCGGUUCUUUAGAUACCAAAAUUUUGAACCUGUUCGGAUAUUUAAUCAAUUUUGGUUCGGGUUUGUUACUACUUUUUUGGACCGGGUUCGGUUCGGUUCUUCGGAUCCGGGUUUUUUGCCCGGCCCUAAAUUUCAUAAUGUAUUAAUUCGUUUUAGGAGCAAAUUCUUUUAUUUAAAGAUAUAUCAGUUUCUUAGCAAAGCGAACGAUUUUAAUUAAACCAAAUCAAAGUGUUUGAUCUUUUUCAUAACUUUAUAUAUGACAGUCUUACUAAUUUUCUUCGAAACUAAAAAUCGGGUUUACCCACGUGUAGCUGCAGUUCCGGGUUAUAUCGACCGGACGUACUUCCGGGUCAACAUAAUAAACCAGGGGGACAGACAGAGAAAGGAGAAAGGAGAAAGAAAAUGAUGAAAGGUUAGGUAGAAAACGAGAAGCACUCAAGGGCCAGGCAAGACUGUGUGAAUUAUUUUCGUUGAAGCUUUGAGAAUCAUCAAUGCGUAUUCUGAGAUUGUUGUAGUUGUGCCAUCAGAAUUUUCGGCAAGACUGGAUUGUUUCUUCUAAAAUGAUAUUAAAAGAAACCCUGAUCUUGUGUUUAAUACAUUGCUGCUAGUUCCUAGAUAUGAAGAUUUGGUGAUGUCUUAGCUGAACAUUAAUAAUUUAGGAUACUUGGUGAAACUCUGGUUGCAUAUGGAUUCACCUCUCAUUUACACCGUUUGAAGUUCAUUAUAUACUCUGGGGCUAGGGCUUAUUCAUCCCAACUCGAUAUUAUGCAUGUACCAGCAAGUGGCAGGCAUUCAAAUUGGCAACACCCUCUGGUUUAGCUGACCCUCUAGGUGUAAUUGUCGUGGGUAAGUUGCAUUGGUUUCUUUGUUGAGGCAUGCUGGACAGAAGCAAGCUGUGAAGGCUGUUUUUUGGCAUGGCCUGUAUGUCUGCAAUGUAAAACACACAAUCUCCAAAAACAGAGGUUUUGAAAUAGCUAUUGCGUCCUUUAGUUUAUGACUUUGGUGAUAUGUUUGUCUUUUUUUGGCAGUCUUUACUUCCUGGAGCUGAGUUUGCCUGAGACAAUGAGCUUGUAAGUUUAAUUAUAUCUCAUGUGAUCAUUUGUGAUAUGCUUUUGCAAAAAUACAAUUUUCCUUCUUCUUUAUUAGACUCAUUCAAACAACCAAAGACCAAUUAUAGCUCUAGUUUAUUUUUAUCAUUUAUUAAUACCUAAACUUAGCAACAAAAAAUAGAGAAUCCUGUCUUGCUAAUCAAUGGCAAACCUUGAAACUCUAUCCUAUUCUCCUUACACAUUUUGUUAAUAAUAUAAAUACCUUCACCACCUUCACCUUCAUGCCAUCGCAUAAAGAAAAACACAAAACUAACAUCCACAGAAUAAACAAAAAAGAAAUAAUGGCAAUGAAGAAUAUCAACAACUUCUUUGUCGCCCUCUUUGUCUCGGUUGUGCUAGUGAGCUCAGCCACAGCGGCUACCAUGGAGUCUCCAGCACCAGCACCAGGUGCUUCCUCUGCCACCGUGGCUUUUCCGGUGGUUGGCUCCAUCGUUGCUGCAUCACUCUCCGCCUUCUUGGCUCUUCUCUUGCAGUAAAUAUAUAUAUAUUGAGGAGGGCCUUCUACGAGAACAAAACUCUUUUUUGUUAUGAUAGGUUCCUUAGAAUCUAUGCAAAAUAAUUUUGUCAAAUAACCCAAUUUGAUGUAUAUUCUCAUUGUAUAAGUUAUUACACUAAUACUUUUAUGAUAUGAUAAUAAUAAUAAUAAUAAUAGUGUCCUAUAUAAGCGCUCGUUGAACAGAUUUUAUGAAUCUGAUCAAUAAAUUUAUUGCUUUGUGAUUAAUAAUGUCUUUAAUACACAAAAUGGCUGCAUGAAAAAGUUGUGGUUAGUGUUUCUUUCUAAGGAUUGGUUUCAUUAUCAUUUUGCUUUCUCUUUACAUUCAUGAG
rnacentral:lncRNA from 1 species